CCUACGGGGUGCAGCAGUGGGGAAUAUUGGACAAUGGGCGAAAGCCUGAUCCAGCCAUGCCGCGUGUGUGAAGAAGGCCUUCGGGUUGUAAAGCACUUUCAGUGGGGAAGAAAGCCUUGGGGCUAAUACCCUCGAGGAAGGACAUCACCCACAGAAGAAGCACCGGCUAACUCCGUGCCAGCAGCCGCGGUAAUACGGAGGGUGCGAGCGUUAAUCGGAAUUACUGGGCGUAAAGCGCGCGUAGGCGGUCUGAUAAGCCGGUUGUAAAAGCCCCGGGCUCAACCUGGGAACGGCAUCCGGAACUGUCAGGCUAGAGUGCAGGAGAGGAAGGUAGAAUUCCCGGUGUAGCGGUGAAAUGCGUAGAGAUCGGGAGGAAUACCAGUGGCGAAGGCGGCCUUCUGGACUGACACUGACGCUGAGGUGCGAAAGCGUGGGUAGCAAACAGGAUUAGAUACCCCAGUAGUC
rnacentral:rRNA from 1 species